GAUGAACGCUGGCGGCGUGCCUAAUACAUGCAAGUCGAGCGAACGGACGCGACGUUUGCUUCUCUGAUGUUAGCAGCGGACGGGUGAGUAACACGUGGAUAACCUACCUAUAAGACUGGAAUAACUUCGAGAGGCCGGAGCUCAUACCGGGUGAUAUUUUGAACCGCAUGGUUCAAAAGUGAUAUCCGGUCUUGCUGUCACUUAUAGCUGGAACCGCGCUGGAUUAGCUAGUUGGUAAGGUAACGGCUUACCAAGGCCACGAUGCAUGGCCGACCUGAGAGGGUGAUGGGCCACAGUGGAACUGAGACACGGUCCAGACUCCGACGGGAGGCAGCAGUAGGGACGCGUGCGCAAUGUGCGGAAGCCUGACGGAGCAACGCCGCGUGAGUGAUGAAGGUCCUCGGAUCGUAAAACUCUGUUAGUAGUGAAGAACAUAUGUGUAAGUAACGGUGCACAUCGUGACGGUACCUAGUCAGAAAGCCCCGGCUAACUACGUG
rnacentral:rRNA from 1 species